CUGAGUUUACAACUCACCAACCCUUGUGAACAUACCUUAUACUGUUGCCUUCGGCGGUAGCGUCCCUAGGACGUCCCCGGCCCUCCCGUCAACGGUGGGACGGCCCGCCCGGAGGAUACCCUAAACUCUGAUUUUACGUGGAACUUUCUGAGUAACACAAACAAAUAAUCA
rnacentral:misc_RNA from 1 species